rnacentral:rRNA from 1 species
GACGAACGCUGGCGGCGUGCUUAACACAUGCAAGUCGAACAGUGGCGAACGGGUGAGUAACACGUGAGUAACCUGCCCUCCACUUUGGGAUAACUCCGAGAAAUCGGGGCUAAUACUGGUUCGUGGGGGAUGGGCUCGCGGCCUAUCGGUUUGUUGGUGAGUUAGUGGUCCCCAAGGCGUGACGGGUAGCCGGCCUGGGAGGGCGACCGGCCACACUGGGACUGAGACAGGGGCCAGACGGCAACGGGGGGCAGCAGUGGGGAAUAUUGCACAAUGGGCGAAAGCCUGAUGCAGCGACGCCGCGUGGGGGAUGACGGUCUUCGGGUUGUAAACGUCUGUCAGCAAGGAAGCGGUACUUGCAGAAGAAGCGCCGGCUAACUACGUGCCAGCAGCCGCGGUAAUAC